AAACUCUGGUUUUUCUUCAGAUCCUAUAAAUAUUUCGCUAAAUCUUUUACUAAAUAUUUCCAUGGAGAGGAACAGGCACAAGUGUCAAGGAAUUUUUUGCAGGCUUAGGAAGUGUGGGUUG
rnacentral:snRNA from 1 species